AAAUAUCGCAAUACAUUGGUAACGUAAACUUUACAUCAUAAACAGUUUGUGAAUAAGUAACAUAAAAUAACGAAAAUGUGGCUCCGACCCUUUAUCUACGUAAUUUGGAUAUAUGCCAUCGUUACUACAGCACAAGAUCCAGCACCUGACAGCACUACUGAACCUGCAAGCUCUAAUUCACCUGUGA